rnacentral:tRNA from 3 species
AAGGACUUAAGUUAAAUAAACUGAGAGCCUUCAAAGCUUUAAAUAAGAAUGAAAAUUUCUUAGUCCUUG